ensembl:snRNA U6 U6 spliceosomal RNA
GCGCUCACUUCAGCAGCACAUACACUAAAACUGGAACAAUACACAGAUUAGCAUGGUACCUGUUCAAGGAUACCAUGCAAAUUUGAGAAAGGUAAAUGCUUAAU